rnacentral:rRNA from 1 species
AACGAACGCUGGCGGCAGGCCUAACACAUGCAAGUCGAGCGCCCCGCAAGGGGAGCGGCGGACGGGUGAGUAACACGUGGGAAUUUUCCUCAAGGUACGGAACAACUCAGGGAAACUUGGGCUAAUACCGUAUGAUGCAGAGAUGCCAAAGAUUUAUCGCCUUGGGAUAAGCCCGCGUCAGAUUAGGUAGUUGGUGGGGUAAUGGCCUACCAAGCCUGUGAUCUGUAGCUGGUCUGAGAGGACGAUCAGCCACAUUGGGACUGAGACACGGCCCAAACUCCUACGGGAGGCAGCAGUGGGGAAUCUUGCGCAAUGGGCGAAAGCCCGACGCAGCCAUGCCGCGUGAAUGAUGAAGGUCUUAGGAUUGUAAAGUUCUUUAGCCUGUGACGAUGAUGACGGUUACAGGAGAAUAAGCCCCGGCUAACUUCGUGCCAGCAGCCGCCGUAA